UGAAGCAAGCUGGAAAGUCCAACAGAAAGAGAUAGGGAGAAGCUUAUAGGCUUUUCCAAGUAAGAAAUUAUUAGUAUUUUUCAACACUUUGCCUUUUAAUGAUUAUUUCAGUUUCUGAAUCCAAAAGGUAAGAUUUUUUUUUAAAUCUAAUUAGGAGUGAGAAAAUAGCCUUGUGCCAGGCAGUUUUGAGACCACACUGUUCAAUCAGUUCAAAGUAUUACUAGCAUUUUUCUCGAGUGUAAUAUAUGAUAACUGCCAAGCUUUCCUUUUGUGAUUAUGAAGUGGACAGAUACUAGAGUGAGCCAUAUUUCAGCACUACAGAGAUAUGAAAAAUGACCUGCUGAAAACGGCCCAGAAGGAAUGAAUAAGACAUCAAUGUCAUCUGUAUACUUAUUGGUGAUGAAUUUCUAAAAAGUUUAAUGGUAUGAUGCUAUGAUAUAUAGGGGCUUCCUGAAAGAUAAUAACUGUAUGUUACCCACUUAGAAGACUGUAAAGGGUGAAAGUAACUAAGUGCAGAUAAUAUAUAAGUAUGUGACUUUACUAACAUAGUUAAACCAUUUUGUGCAUUCCAUAUUGCUAGCCUCUAUGACUAGAAAUAAAAAUUAACAAGAUUGUGAAAAGUCGGGAAGAACAGAUGUUCCCCAACUCUUAUUAUUACACAUUUAGUAAAGCCUUUAAUUUGCCUUUUCAUAGACUGGGACCUAUAUAGCA
rnacentral:lncRNA from 1 species